UACGAAGGGGGCUAGCGUUGCUCGGAAUCACUGGGCGUAAAGCGCACGUAGGCGGGUUGUUAAGUCAGGGGUGAAAUCCUGGAGCUCAACUCCAGAACUGCCUUUGAUACUGGGGAUCUCGAGUCCGGAAGAGGUGAGUGGAACUCCGAGUGUAGAGGUGAAAUUCGUAGAUAUUCGGAAGAACACCAGUGGCGAAGGCGGCUUACUGGUCCGGUUCUGACGCUGAGGUGCGAAAGCGUGGGGAGCAAACAGG
rnacentral:rRNA from 1 species